UACGGAGGGUGCAAGCGUUGCUCGGAAUUAUUGGGCGUAAAGGGUAGGUAGGUGGUCUUAUUUGUCUGGGGUGAAAGCCUUGAGCUUAACUCAAGAAGUGCCCCAGAAACGGUGAGACUAGAGUCUUGGAGAGGGUCGUGGAAUUCCCGGUGUAGCGGUGAAAUGCGUAGAGAUCGGGAGGAACACCAGAGGCGAAGGCGGCGACCUGGACAAGUACUGACACUCAACUACGAAAGCGUGGGGAGCGAACAGG
rnacentral:rRNA from 1 species